rnacentral:misc_RNA from 1 species
GCCAUUCCACCAAUAGCUAUCUUUCACAUCAUGGUACAUCUUGGUGGAACCUGGGUGGAUACUGUACAGUGUAUAGUGUGCCUCUCGCAUGAUUUCAUUCCUGAGGUUGUCCACAUCGGGCACACAUAUCCUAGAACCUUGCACUAGGGCGCCAUCAUUGGCAAACCCAAACUCACCACCUUCACCUUGCUGUACUCUUUCUAUGAUCUUCAUCAAUUGUUGGUCUCUGUGCUGGGAAACUCUAACUCUGUCCCUCAAGUCUGGCCUCACUGAAAAGUGAGCCAACAAUACCCCAUCAUCUGAAAGAUCUAGGAUUAAACCUUGAUCCAUCAACUCAUGUACCUCCUGAAUCAACAGUCUCUUCUCUGCUGAAAUGUGCGCCAAACUGCCAGAAGAUUUUCUGCUCAAGGCAUCUGCCACAAAAUUGGCCUUUCCAGGGUGGUACUGGAUGAUGCAAUCAUAGUCUUUCAGAAGCUCCAUC